rnacentral:sRNA from 1 species
ACGGCACGGAGUGCCCCCCUACCUUCGCCGG